CCCUUAGAUGUUCUGGGCCGCACGCGCGCUACACUGAUGCAUUCAACGAGUCUAAAACCUGCUCUGAUAGGGGUGGGUAAUCUUUUGAAUGUGCAUCGUGAUUGGGAUAGAUGAUUGCAAUUUUUCAUCUUCAACGAGGAAUGCCUAGUAAACGCAAGUCAUCAGCUUGCAUUGAUUACGUCCCUGCCCUUUGUACACACCGCCCGUCGCUCCUACCGACUGAAUGAUCCGAUGAAUAUCAUGGAUUGAGGAUGCAAGCAGGUUCGCCUGUCUUCAUCUUCGAGAAGUGAAGUAAAUCUUAUCAUUUAGAGGAAGGAGAAGUCGUAACA
rnacentral:rRNA from 1 species